UACGAACCGUACAAACGUUAUUCGGAAUCACUGGGCUUAAAGGGUGCGUAGGCGGCCAUGUAAGUGAGGUGUGAAAUCCCUCGGCUCAACCGAGGAACUGCGCUUCAUACUGCAUGGCUUGAGGGAGACAGGGGUAAGCGGAACUGAUGGUGGAGCGGUGAAAUGCGUUGAUAUCAAUCAGGAACACCGGUGGCGAAAGCGGCUUACUGGGUCUCU
rnacentral:rRNA from 1 species